rnacentral:rRNA from 1 species
CCUACGGGAGGCAGCAGUGAGGAAUAUUGGUCAAUGGGCGCGAGCCUGAACCAGCCAAGUCGCGUGAAGGAUGACGGCCCUACGGGUUGUAAACUUCUUUUGUCAGGGAGCAAUUGGGUCCACGCGUGGGCUUAGCGAGAGUACCUGAAGAAAAAGCAUCGGCUAACUCCGUGCCAGCAGCCGCGGUAAUACGGAGGAUGCGAGCGUUCUCCGGAUUUAUUGGGUUUAAAGGGUGCGUAGGCGGAAUAUCAAGUCAGCGGUAAAAAUUCGGGGCUAAACCCCGUCGUGCCGUUGAAACUGAUGUUCUGGAGUGGGCGAGAAGUAUGCGGAAUGCGUGGUGUAGCGGUGAAAUGCAUAGAUAUCACGCAGAACUCCGAUUGCGAAGGCAGCAUACCGGCGCCCAACUGACGCUGAAGCACGAAAGCGUGGGUAUCGAACAGGAUUAGAUACCCCGGUAGUC